UUUAAAAAUUUUAGUUUAAGAAAAAUUUAAUAUUUACAAUAUUAAGAUAUUUAAUAAUAAAUUUUAAU
rnacentral:tRNA from 1 species